ensembl:snRNA U2 U2 spliceosomal RNA
AUCGUUUCUUGGCCUUUUGGCUAAGAUCAAGUGUAGUAUCUGUUCUUAGCAGUUUAAAACAGAAAGGCAAUGGGGAGCCUGGGUGGCUCAGUCAGUUAAACGUCCGACUGAGGUCAUGAUCUCACAGCUUGUGAGUUCAAGCCCUC